rfam:Lysinibacillus odysseyi 34hs-1 = NBRC 100172 contig6, whole genome shotgun sequence.
GGAGCAUUUUCUGGAGAGAGCGCAUUAAGCGUCGCCGAAGGGUUCACUAUCUCAGGCAAAAGGACAGAAGGGUAAUA